UUUUGUGUUGUCAAUUUGUUCCUUGAAACAGUUUAAACUUUUUUAGCCAAACAGUUCAGUUGUUAUCGUCAUUCCAAAUUGGGAUGCUGUGUCGUCGGAAUCAGCAGAGAUUUAAAUAAGAAAAAAAUAAAAAAAAAAUAUUUGAAUAACGGUAAAUUUUCGAAAUAACUGAAAAAUAAGAAGUUUGUUAAAUCUUAAAGUGGUUGCGUUAGUUUGUAAGAGUGUGUGCGUGAGUAAAUGCGUGUAUACGAUUUGUUAGCCAUUCUUUUAAUGCCGUCACAGUUGCUGCGUGUGCUUUUGUUUUUGUUGUUGUUGUUGCUGUACAGGAUAACAAUGUUUUAUCGUAUUUUAUGCGAGAUGCUCGUAUAAUUAAAAUUGCGCGCGUUUAUUUCGGACAUCAACACUUAAAGUGGAGCAGCAUCAGCAACAACAAACACAUUAAGUUAAAUGCCUUAAUGCAGCAGAGCUAAAGCUGAAACAAAAAUAACCAUUGGUUUGUGAAGUCAAGGGGAAUAAACACUUAAUGACAGAAAAUUAACAAAUAAGAGAAAUAAAUAAAAAAUUUAUAUAUGUGUAUGUAUUUGUGUUCAUAAUUUUGUUUAAAGAAUUUGUGCAAGCUUCGUUUAAAAUAUGACGAAUAACUUAAUACAUAAAUGUAUUGGAGUAUACAAUAAAUAAAUAAAGUCUAUUAACAAGAUGCUCAAUAUAAAAAGCAGAAUACUAUUAAGUCUGUGAAUUUAAAAUAAACUAAUUAAAAUUUAAAGUUCAACAUUGAAAUCUUGCAUACUGGAUUACACUUUAAAUUUAAGAAAAGUAAGUGAAUUUAAUAAAA